AUGGUGGUGGGGAAAUGGGGAGUAAUUACUAAUAGGCGUGGGGUUCCUUUUGGGGGUGGUCAAAAUCUAAAGUCGAUUAUGGUGAUGGGCACACAAGUCUCUAUAUACUAAAAAGCAUUGAAUUGUAUACUUCAGAUGGUUAAAUUAUAUAUCCCUGCCCAGUAAUAUCUCAACAAAGCUGUUGUAUAUAUGUAGAGAGAUAAUAUGUUUAUGAAGUGUCUACUGAGUCAAGUGAGCCAAACAGAAGAAAAUCCCUGCCUUGUCAGGAAGUUAACAAGGAGGAGACAAGAGUACAUUUAAAAGUGUAAUUUGACUCAUGAUAAGAAUGAAGCAGGAAGGGAAUCGUGUAAUGAAUGGGGCUGGAGCUACUUUAGAUGGUGGAGGAGAGGAAUCAAGGUCUAGGAAGGCCACUCUGUGGAGGGGACAUGUGAACAGAGAUCUGAGUAAAGAGAUAGAGGGAGCCACAGGUACCUAGUGAAAGAGCACCAGUAGAUGCAGCAAGUGCAAAGGCCCUGAGGUGGGAGCAAUAGGCCAGUGGGAAGGUGGUAGGAGAUGAGAUCAGAGAAUUGUCAGGGGCUGGAUCAUGGAAGGUCUCAUAGGAACCCUUAUUUUAUUCUGUAGGAGCCACAGGAGGUUUUAAGCAGAAGAGGGAUGUGUUCUCACUGAAGUGUUCACGGAAUCCCUCUGGCUGCAAAUGGAGAAUGGACAGGGGGGAGGAGGUGGGCAGGAUGGAAGGCGGGAGACCAGCGAGGAGGCCACAACAGACCAGAGCAGCCACUUGGAGGACAUGAAGACCAAAGUCUCAUGCUCAGAAUGGUGGAGUGGGAAAGAGGAGGACGCCCCAGUCCUUGAGCAGCUGUGCCAGCACCGGUCCACCCGGCUCUGGACUUCUUGUGUUUGUUCAGGCCAUCACUUGUGGAAUUUUCUGUUCCUCGUGGCUGCAUGCUUUCCUAACGUGUGCUUGCCUGUGUGCAUGCCUUCCCCGUGUGCUGCGCAUGCAUAACCAUUUAUAUUUAUCUACAUUCUUUCUUCCCCACAAAAACGGUAGCAUACCCUAUGCUCA